rnacentral:rRNA from 1 species
GUGCCAGCCGCCGCGGUAAGACGGAGGAGGCAAGCGUUAUCCGGAAUUAUUGGGCGUAAAGCGUCCGCAGGCGGUUUUUUAAGUCUGUUGUUAAAGCCCACAGCUCAACUGUGGAUCGGCAAUGGAAACUGGGAGACUUGAGUGUGGUAGGGGUAGAGGGAAUUCCCGGUGUAGCGGUGAAAUGCGUAGAUAUCGGGAAGAACACCAGUGGCGAAGGCGCUCUACUGGGCCACAACUGACGCUGAGGGACGAAAGCUGGGGAGCGAAAGGGAUUAGAUACCCGGGUAGUCC